rnacentral:lncRNA from 1 species
AUAUCAUAAGGACAAGUUGAUUAUUUCACUUUCAUUAUUUGAAGUUAGUGGAUGUCUUUUGUCUUGGUUAAUUCAAGUUGUUGGAUGAUAACUUCAUUUGUAUUAUUUUAGUUUAUUAUUACUUGUUCCAUGUCAUUUUUCCCUUAGCUAAUUUAUUUUUCUUUCUAUCUUUAUGGCGUCGACCGAGUCUUUUGUGGAUUUCUUCGCCUCAUUUUCCCUUUUCGAGAUGAGCCAUGGAGGCUCAAAUUUCUUCAUAGAGUCGGCCUUGGUUUUAUUUAACGUCAAGUAGCUGGUGAACGGGUCCUCUAAAGCUAGACAAGGCUAAAAAUUGGCGUACAAGUGUUUGGAGCGGAUAUACGUGAUUGUAUACACUAGUAUACACCUAGUGUAUACGGAAUUGGGCCAAAACCCCAUCUUCCCUUGAAUUGUAUUUUGUUAUUAUUAGGCCUAAGCCCUUUUAUUUCCAUUAUCAUAUGUGUUAGUUAUUAGGACAGGUAGUAAAUGCAAUGAGUGGGUCUAAAGCCCAACGGAAAAAUUAGAUUAUCUUAGGACAGGUGCAAAUGGGCCUAUGGCCCAAAGCUGAAUUUAGGCCCAAGUACUGGUCCAGGCGGAC